UCGGACCUCAGAUCAAGCAAGAAGACCUGCUGAAUUUAA
rnacentral:rRNA from 1 species